GUAGGGAAUAUUGCGCAAUGGACGAAAGUCUGACGCAGCGACGCCGCGUGAGUGAUGAAGGCCUUAGGGUCGUAAAGCUCUGUUGAAUGGGAAGAAAAAAAUGACGGUACCAUUCGAGGAAGGACCGGCUAACUUCGUGCCAGCAGCCGCGGUAAUACGAGGGGUCCUAGCGUUGUUCGGAAUCAUCGGGCGUAAAGGGUGUGUAGGUGGCCAUGUAAGUCAGGUGGGAAAGCCCCGGGCUCAACCCGGGAAGUGCACUUGAUACUGCGUGGCUUGAGUACCGAAGAGGGUAGUGGAAUUCCAGGUGUAGUGGUGAAAUACGUAGAUAUCUGGAGGAACACCGGUGGCGAAGGCGGCUACCUGGUCGAGUACUGACACUGAGACACGAAAGCAUGGGGAUCAAACAGGAUUAGAAACCCCUGUAGUCC
rnacentral:rRNA from 1 species